CCUACGGGAGGCAGCAGUGGGGAAUAUUGGGCAAUGGGCGCAAGCCUGACCCAGCAACGCCGCGUGAAGGAAUAAGGCUUUCGGGUUGUAAACUUCUUUUGACAGGGAAGAGUAGAAGACGGUACCUGUCGAAUAAGCCACGGCUAACUACGUGCCAGCAGCCGCGGUAAUACGUAGGUGGCAAGCGUUGUCCGGAUUUACUGGGUGGAAAGGGCGUGUACCCGGGUUGACAAGUCAGUUGUGAAAUACUGCGGCUUAACCGAAGAACUGCAUUUGAAACUGUUGAUCUUGAGUACUGGAGAGGCAGACGGAAUUCCUGGUGUAGCGGUGAAAUGCGUAGAUAUUAGGAGGAACACCAGUGGCGAAGGCGGUCUGCUGGACAGCAACUGACGGUGAGGCGCGAAAGCGUGGGGAGCAAACAGGAUUAGAUACCCGGGUAGUC
rnacentral:rRNA from 1 species